rnacentral:tRNA from 1 species
CGCAGCGUAGCUCAAUGGUAGAGCGGUGGGCUUAUACCCCAUGACGGCCAGAUUAGCCGACGAUCCGGGUUCGACCCCCGGCGCUGCGUCCA